AGAGACAGCAGUCGCCACGGUAAAACGAAGGGUGCAAGCGUUACUCGGAAUUACUGGGCGUAAAGCGUGCGUAGGUGGUGGUUUAAGUCCGUUGUGAAAGCCCUGGGCUCAACCUGGGAAUUGCAGUGGAUACUGGGUCACUAGAGUGUGGUAGAGGAUAGUGGAAUUUCCGGUGUAGCAGUGAAAUGCGUAGAGAUCGGAAGGAACAUCUGUGGCGAAGGCGACUAUCUGGGCCAACACUGACACUGAGGCACGAAAGCGUGGGGAGCAAACAGGAUUAGAUACCCCGGUAGUCCCUGUCUCUUAUAC
rnacentral:rRNA from 1 species